AGGUGAUGGACAACAGGUUGAUAUUCCUGUACUACCGAUAACCGUUUGAGAGAAGGGAUGACACAGUAGGAUAAGCUAAGCACACUGUUGGUUAUGUGUGUCCAAGCAUUGAGGCAGUCAAAGUAGGCAAAUCCGCUUUGAUAAUGCUGGGAUGUGAUGGGGAGCGAAAUUUAGUAGCGAAGUAGCUGAUUUCACACUGUCAAGAAAAGUCUCUAUCGAGGUUAAAGGUACCCGUACCGCAAACCGACACAGGUGGGUGAGGAGAGUAUCCUAAGGCCAGCGAGAGAACUGUUGUUAAGGAACUCGGCAAAAUGACCCCGUAACUUAGGGAUAAGGGGUGCCACCAUCAGGUGGCCGCAGAGAAUAGGCCCAAGCGACUGUUUACCAAAAACAUAGGUUUCUGCUAAGUCGCAAGACGAUGUAUAGGAGCUGACGCCUGCCCGGUGCUGGAAGGUUAAGGGGAUCUGUUAGAGCAAUCGAAGCAGUGAACUUAAGCCCCAGUAAACGGCGGCCGUAACUAUAACGGUACGAAGGUAGGGAAAUUCCUUGUCGGGGAAGGUCCGGCCCGCGUGAAAGGCGGAACGAUUUCGGCACUGUCUCA
rnacentral:rRNA from 1 species